UGAAACUCAUAGAUUUUUUUUCUGUAACACUUGCUAGUGUGAAACAUGUUAGUAAAAGUUCCUCAUUUGUAUACGUACUUCUGAAGAAUAUCUGUCAGGGACUAAACAGGCCUAGGUGGCUCUAAUGAUGCAACUCUCAGAAUCUGAGCGUGAGGCCAUCUGUGUGCCAGGACAUAUGAGCUGAGGGUCAGUGGUGACCCCUCCCACGCAGAGGACCCCCCUUGCUCUCUGCCUGCGUGUGUGACAAGACUUAAAGCUGGACAUAUACCUCACGCGUUCUUUUAAAAGCAGACGUCAUCUCGGGGUAAGAAUCACAGCUCUGCAGAAUUUCGACUCACUUUUGUUACAAAUCCAGCUGUAUUUCCAAACUUGUUAAUUUUCUUUAAAGAAGUAUUAUUUUGAAUCAUGUCCGACUUUACAGGAAGAUCUGCAGGUAUAAGUUCUCAGGUUCUGUCCACAUUGUUCGAUCGUAAGUAAAUACAAUUCUCAAAUUCUCUUUCUCUAAUCAUAUACUGAAUAUAUAUAUGUAUAUACAGAAAUGCAUCAUGCUUAAUAAUGAUUUUCUUAUUUUUAGGGGCAGUCUCAGAAGAUCCAAACAUUGUCUUAGAGUCGGAAUUUAUAAGCGAUCUUGCCAAUACUCAGGAGACAUACCAGAACCACACAGCAUUAAACAAUACAAUUGAUAACCGGGAGAAUCCUAGGAAGAACCGCUUGUCAUUGAAUAAAAAAAGAACUGACUCUGAAGCUAUCAGAUCAUCACAGCUGGUGAAUACGGCUCUGACACCAUCCGGUUCUGUUCAGACAGGAGUACACAGUAAGUUUUUUUUC